UAGGGAAUCUUCCGCAAUGGGCGAAAGCCUGACGGAGCAACGCCGCGUGAGUGAUGAAGGUCUUCGGAUCGUAAAACUCUGUUAUUAGGGAAGAACAAAUGUGUAAGUAACUAUGCACAUCUUGACGGUACCUAAUCAGAAAGCCACGGCUAACUACGUGCCAGCAGCCGCGGUAAUACGUAGGUGGCAAGCGUUAUCCGGAAUUAUUGGGCGUAAAGCGCGCGUAGGCGGUUUUUUAAGUCUGAUGUGAAAGCCCACGGCUCAACCGUGGAGGGUCAUUGGAAACUGGAAAACUUGAGUGCAGAAGAGGAAAGUGGAAUUCCAUGUGUAACGGUGAAAUGCGCAGAGAUAUGGAGGAACACCAGUGGCGAAGGCGACUUUCUGGUCUGUAACUGACGCUGAUGUGCGAAAGCGUGGGGAUCAAACAGG
rnacentral:rRNA from 1 species